rnacentral:rRNA from 1 species
UACGUAGGGGGCAAGCGUUGUCCGGAAUCAUUGGGCGUAAAGAGCGUGUAGGCGGCUCGAUAAGUCUGCUGUGAAAGUCCAGGGCUCAACCCUGGAAGGCCGGUGGAAACUGUCGGGCUAGAGUCCGGAAGAGGCGAGUGGAAUUCCUGGUGUAGCGGUGAAAUGCGCAGAUAUCAGGAGGAACACCUAUGGCGAAGGCAGCUCGCUGGGACGGUACUGACGCUGAGACGCGAAAGCGUGGGGAGCGAACAGG